rnacentral:piRNA from 1 species
UGAUUUAGAUGAUGGAAACUGAGUGUACC